CCUACGGGAGGCUGCAGUGAGGAAUAUUGGUCAAUGGGCGGGAGCCUGAACCAGCCAAGCCGCGUGAGGGAAGAAGGUACAGCGUAUCGUAAACCUCUUUUGUCAGGGAACAAAGGCGGGGACUAGUCCCCGGAUGAGGGUACCUGAAGAAAAAGCAUCGGCUAACUCCGUGCCAGCAGCCGCGGUAAUACGGAGGAUGCGAGUGUUAUCCGGAUUUAUUGGGUUUAAAGGGUGCGCAGGCGGCCUGUUAAGUCAGCGGGAAAAGCCCGGGGCUCAACCCCGGCGAGCCGUUGAAACUGGCGGGCUGGAGUUGGAGAGAAGUACGCGGAAUGCGCGGUGUAGCGGUGAAAUGCUUAGAUAUCGCGCAGAACCCCGAUUGCGAAGGCAGCGUACCGGCUCCACACUGACGCUGAGGCACGAAAGCGUGGGUAUCGAACAGGAUUAGAUACCCCGGUAGUC
rnacentral:rRNA from 1 species